CGGGGUAGCGCGGGGAGGCGAAGGUAUCAGCCACAGGAGGGCGACGCAUGCGUGGAGGCGACUCAUUUCGCAGGCGACUUAGUGGCACCGUCGCUCUGCCUCACCGCUCAGUUCUCGGUGUAUAUCUCUGGUGUGAGGACGAGGGUGCCCCGCCUGGAGACACUCACGCUCAGGACAACACGCUCGGCGACCAGUAGCGCUGCCCGGUGACCGCAUCCGUGUGCUAAGGAUGACCAUGCUGUGGCCAUUGGUGGUGCUGGUGGCUGCCUGUGGCGCGGCGCGGGUGCUGAGCCUCGAGAGCCCCUGCGAUGAGAAGUCGUUUGAGUGUGGUGGCGGGGAGAAGUGCAUCCCCAAGACGUGGCUUUGUGACAGUGUAGCCGACUGCAGCGAUAAGUCUGACGAACACCGCGACUUGUGCAAAGGUAAGGAACAAAAACAAGAUCUUUUCAGCAGACGGUCGACUGGCAGAGGUGAGAGAGAGAGAGAGAGAGAGAGAGAGAGAGAGAGAGAGAGAGAGAGAGAGAGAGAGAGAGA